CUAACACAUGCAAGUCGAGCGAAUUCUCUUCGGAGAAGAGCGGCGGACGCGGUGAGUAACGCGUGGGUAACCUGCCCUUUACACACGGAUAACAUACCGAAAGGUAUGCUAAUACGGGAUAAUAUAAGAAAUUCGCAUGUUUUUCUUAUCAAAGCUCCGGCGGUACAGGAUGGACCCGCGUCUGAUUAGCUAGUUGGUGAGGUAACGGCUCACCAAGGCGACGAUCAGUAGCCGACCUGAGAGGGUGAUCGGCCACAUUGGAACUGAGACACGGUCCAAACUCCUACGGGAGGCAGCAGUGGGGAAUAUUGCACAAUGGGCGAAAGCCUGAUGCAGCAACGCCGCGUGAGCGAUGAAGGCCUUCGGGUCGUAAAGCUCUGUCCUCAAGGAAGAUAAUGACGGUACUUGAGGAGGAAGCCCCGGCUAACUACGUGCCAGCAGCCGCGGUAAUACGUAGGGGGCUAGCGUUAUCCGGAUUUACUGGGCGUAAAGGGUGCGUAGGCGGUCUUUUAAGUCAGGAGUGAAAGGCUACGGCUCAACCGUAGUAAGCUCUUGAAACUGGAGGACUUGAGUGCAGGAGAGGAGAGUGGAAUUCCUAGUGUAGCGGUGAAAUGCG
rnacentral:rRNA from 1 species